rnacentral:rRNA from 1 species
CUACGGGCUGCUCCAGUAGGGAGUAUUCGGCAAUGGGGGGAACCCUGACCGAGCAACGCCGCGUGAAUGAAGAAGGUCUUCGGAUUGUAAAAUUCUGUUGUAGGGGACGAACGAUAUAUAUAGGAAAUGAUAUAUAUGUGACUGUACCUUACAAGAAAGCCACGGCUAACUACGUGCCAGCAGCCGCGGUAAUACGUAGGGCAAGCGUUAUCCGGAAUUAUUGGGCGUAAAGAGUGAGCAGGCGGUUAUUUAAGUCUGUAGUUAAAAGCAUAAGCUUAACUUAUGUUCGCUAUGGAAACUGAAUGACUAGAGUUCGAGAGAGGUUAGUGGAACUCCAUGUGUAGCGGUGAAAUGCGUAGAUAUAUGGAAGAACACCAGUGGCGAAGGCGACUAACUAGCUCGAUGCUGACGCUCAGUCACGAAAGCGUGGGUAGCAAAUAGGAUUAGAUACCCCUGUAGUC